GUCAUCCAAGUGUAAGUGUAAGUAGGGUGCAGGGACUCCCAAGGAGUGAAGCAGGAACCUCGGGCUAACAGCAGAGACCCUGUCACCAUCCCUAGGCCUGAAGGACUAGAGGAGGAAAAGUGUCUCUUAUCAGGACCUACGUGAACUGACAGAGGGAUCGCUGCCUGAGAGCUGGUGGAGACUCCAAAUUUCCCGCCGUCCUUGUGCUGAGAAGCACUGUCUGGAGACAGAUGCGUGAACCGCACUCCUUCUGCAAGGAUGACUUCGUGCCCCAAAGACGACGCUGUGUUUAAAGAAAAGCGAUGGCCACUGCCCCCUUCUCCCUUGGGACAUUUUAGCUUUGGGGACAAGUGGUUUAAGUCGCUGAUGCCGAGAAAGGCUUCCUGCAAAAAGAGAGCUGCUUGCUCAGUCAGCCGGACCAGACCAGACCAGACAAGCCUGACUUGCCUGAAGGUCCUGGCUCCUGGACCCUCACUGUAUUUAUAAGUCUUAACAUUGUAGCUGUGAAUUCCAUUCUGGUGAUGUUGCUUCUGGCUGGCAGAUGGCCAUGGUUUCCAGUCAUUCACAGGCAACUCUGAGGCUUGCUGAUAUGGGCAUCGAAAGCACUCGGCUCUCUUUUCUGUAACCGUGUGCAUGUAUUUUCUUGUAAGGUUGUCUUCAACGUCUCUUAAAUGUAUUAAAUAUUUUCUGAAGAUACAGCUACUUGCAGUUAGAAAACAAAAGUAUCUUUUUAUUCUCUUACUUCCAAAGAUAUUGCUUUGCAGAACAAUCUAUAAAAAUAAAGAGCUUUUACUGAGUUCAGGGUUUAAACAAAGAGAGAGAAAAGCAGUUUCUAAGCAGAAAAAUGCAACAAAGGCUUUACUUCUUACCAAAUAACUUAAGAAUGUCUGAACGAAAACAUCCCAAACCUGCUAGUGCCAGAAUUUCUCAGAUAAGUCAAGAGAGAAGAAAAACACAAACCCAACCCCAAACUACCAAAGAAUCAAUGAAUGGCAAAAAGAAAACAACACAAUAUUGAAAAACGUGGUUAAAUGUUUAAGUUGUAAUGGUAUUCUAGAAAACGCAAUUAUACAUCUGCGUGUUUUCUAAUUCAUUUUCUUUUGGAAAAAGUUGGGAAGAUCCUAUGUGACCAAUAUCCUCCUCCAUCAGGCCAUAUGCCACCCCAGGACCACGGGGAGUCCUUGGAGUCUCCGAUCCCCAUCUAGACCCCCUUUAUCAGAUGAUGCCUUGUACGUCAUGUGAUGAAGCACUUCCCACCAUGUGUCUUCCUAACUAGACUGUAAGCAUCCUGGGCAUAGAAAUCUAGACUUCUCUUUGUAUUAUCCCCACAACACCUACCAUGGUGCCUUGAACCCAAGUGAUCAAUACACAUGAGUUGAUUAACUGUCCUAAGAAUUUACAAAUGUUUUCUUCACACCAGUGGGGAAAAACCUGAAAGAGUUCUUUAUUCCAUUAUACCAGGAAGAACAGUAGAAUCUGCUAUCUCAGCAAUUUUCAAUUAUUUAGGGUAUUUAAUUUUGGGAGAAAUUGUGAAGUCUUUGAGCUGCAUAGAAAUACAGUCAUUUGGUGUUCACUUCCAUAUAACAUUGUAUACUACUAAAUCGUAGACAGAAGGCAGAAAGGUAUAAAAGACAGAAAGGUGAGUGUGGAUAUUGAAAACACAAAUUUAUUUACUGUAUUUUGGUAUCCUAGAACCAGAGAAAGAUUUUCUUAAUAUGGCAAAGUAUUAUCCUUAGAGUACAAAUGUUAUUUUUACCAGCAGUUAGCAAGUUUUCAGAAUUGUUACCCUCAAUAGGAUAACAUGAAAAUUGGAAUAGCUUUUAAAAAUAAUUUUAAUGAAACAUGGUCUGUUUAAUGAAAAAUGUUCUACAAUAUGACUGUCCUUUGGUCCCAUUUUUAGAAAGAAAACCUUGUGCUCCUUUGAAAAUGGGUAUGACGACAUUUAUGCAAAAAUUUCUCAUUUACACAAACACAUCAAGGUGCAUUAAGAUAUCUUUCAGAGGUUUAUACAUUUUGCCCUUUCAAAUAUGUAUAUGUGUAUUUAUACAUAUUUGUAUGCAUUAUACAUAUACAUAUUUGUACAUCUUGGUUCUCAGUUCAAAUGUAUUACUUUACUUACUGCUCUUUUAAAGAUUUAUACAUAUUGUUCUCUCAAUGAUUUAUACAUUUUUUCUCAAUUUAGAAACCUGAAGUAGCUAAAAUGUUGGAAGAACAGACUACAUUUCAUUUACUUUAUAGCAUCUAAUAUGUAGAGAUUAACACUAGAUAUACUAGUUUUUUUCUUCAAAUGGGUAAAUGAAUACACAGAGGUAUUAAAUGAUUUGCUAAAAAACAACAUGAGUAUCUCUUGGAUUUCCUGAUUUUCAAGGCUGCCGCCAUCAGAUUAUGCUGAAAUUUUUUUUGCCAACUUGAGAUCUAUAGAGUUCCCAGAUUUUCUAAUUUCAUCCAUAUAUAUCUUUGGCCAUGGCUCUCAGGAAACAGGAUGAUACUAAGUUUAAUUUGCAUGUGUGAUGCCUAUGGAAGAGAUGUGACACUUGCCUAUCUAAUUAAAACCCUACCUCUCUGCUCAGAUAGGAGCUUUGUAAGAGAUCAUCAUAUUCACUUGUGCACUUCCUUCCUUAUUCUUGUUCUCACAGUCACAGGAGAUCACCAAAUGCUCAGGUCCUGAGCUGCAUUUCCAUGUUUAGUAAAUCAGGAAAUAGUGAAAGAUGUAUCUUGUGACACUUUCAUUGUAAACUUAGAUGAGGCAUGAGUAUUUAAUGACAAGUGAAUAGACAUGAAUGAGAAAAAGGUCAAGUUUUAAUAACCUGAACUGAUACUAAGGCAAUCUAUACACAGAAAAAGUAUACAUGUUAGAGAUUUUAAUCAAUAUCUCUUUCUAUAAAAAUUCCCCUGAUUCCUGUAAGUAAAAUUGGUGGUUUCCUCCUUAAUAUCUCACAUCUGUUGUUAUCAUAGUACCCAAACACUUCAUUGUAAUUGUUUUAUACACUUGUCUUUUAAAUGUAAAGUCUUUAAGAAAAGAGACUAUGUUCUACUCAUCCCAAUAUCCCUAUUAACUUCAAUAAUGCUGUCAUGUGGUAUAAUAUGUUUAUUUGUUCCAGGCUGAGUAAAUAAAUGUGCAUUCUAUACCGUUAAGGACUGUGUACUGGAGUUGGUUAAUAAAUCGUUCAAU